rnacentral:sRNA from 1 species
UCGGCUUAGUGACAUACUAUUUGAGGCUGUACCCAGGUGAUGUGACUCUUCUGACUAGGCCCAGCCUGCAUAUGAGAUUAUGCUGUAUCACUGGCUAAGCACCCAGGUGAUAUUUUGCCAUGUACCUGAGACCAUAUCAAAGACCUAAUAACAACUCUUGUACCUGGAGCCAGGACAUGUGCAGGAUGGUGACUCUCAUCCCUGAACCUUUCCAUAGGGGGCUUGGUGACAUACUGUUUGAGGCUGUACCCAGGUUAUGUGACUCUUCUGACUAGGCCCAGCCUACAAAUGAGAUUAUACUGUAUAAUCCCAG